rnacentral:rRNA from 1 species
CUACGGGAUGCAGCAGUGGGGAAUAUUGCACAAUGGGCGCAAGCCUGAUGCAGCAACGCCGUGUGAGUGAUGAAGGUCUUCGGAUUGUAAAACUCUGUCCUAGGGGAAGAAAAAAAUGACGGUACCCUAGGAGGAAGCCCCGGCUAACUACGUGGCCAGCAGCCGCGGUAAUACGUAGGGGGCAAGCGUUAUCCGGAAUCACUGGGCGUAAAGGGUGCGUAGGUGGCCUAGCAAGCCAGGGGUGAAAGGCAUUGGCUUAACCAAUGUAAGCCUUUGGAACUGUUGGGCUUGAGUGCAGGAGAGGUAAGUGGAAUUCCUAGUGUAGAGGUGAAAUUCGUAGAUAUUAGGAGGAACACCAGUGGCGAAGGCGACUUACUGGACUGUAACUGACACUGAGGCACGAAAGCGUGGGGAGCGAACAGGAUUAGAUACCCGAGUAGUC